rnacentral:rRNA from 1 species
UACGGAGGGUGCAAGCGUUGCUCGGAAUUAUUGGGCGUAAAGGGUAGGUAGGUGGUCUCAUUUGUCAGGGGUGAAAGCCUUGGGCUUAACCCAAGAAGUGCCCCUGAAACGGUGAGACUAGAGUUCUGGAGAGGGUCGUGGAAUUCCCGGUGUAGCGGUGAAAUGCGUAGAGAUCGGGAGGAACACCAGAGGCGAAGGCGGCGACCUGGACAGAUACUGACACUCAACUACGAAAGCGUGGGGAGCAAACAGG